rnacentral:rRNA from 1 species
CUGCUGCCUUCCGUAGGAGUCUGGUCCGUGUCUCAGUACCAGUGUGGGGGCCUUCCUCUCAGAACCCCUACGCAUCGUCGCCUCGGUGGGCCGUUACCCCGCCGACUAGCUAAUGCGCCGCAUGCCCAUCCGUGGCCGGGAUUGCUCCCUUUGGCGGCCUUGGGAUGUCCCUAGGCCGCGUUACGCGGUAUUAGACGGGGUUUCCCCCGCUUAUCCCCCUGCCACGGGCAGGUUGCAUACGUGUUACUCACCCGUGCGCCGGUCGCCGGCAACGG